AUACCAGCAUGUCCUAAAGAAUCUGGUAUGAUCACGCAGCUGGUUUUCCCAGGGCGAGUCUCUUCCAUUGCACCGUGGAAGUGCUGACCCCUGCGAUUUCCCCAUAUGUGGGAAACUCGACUGCAGAAUUUGUGGUAGUGGGGUCUGCGUUUGCGUUCUCCCCUG